rnacentral:piRNA from 1 species
GAGGCUGGUAUUGAAGGGUGAGGAGA